GGCAGCAAGUUCACUGGUCAUGAAAGGAGCAUCACUGCUGAGCAUGGUGUCAUUGUACUUGAUUCGUUACUAUCAGUUGAGAUCUUCAAAUGUAGAGCUGAUCCUCGAUGAAAUCCUGUGUAAGUGGUCUUUACCGUGUGAAGUGUCAAUACAGUUAGUCUCAUCUGUUGACAGGUCCUGUGAGGCAAAUGAAGGCAUAGUGCAAAGUAGAGCUGUAUGUACUGGAGAACAAAA